rnacentral:lncRNA from 1 species
AUUCUUUCCUCACGAGUGGUUAUGAGAUGAAAUCAGAUAACUCAAGGCCUCUAGGCUGAGGGUCAGCAAACCUUUUCUGCAAAAGGCCACUGAGCUCUGUCCUUGUAGUAUGAAAGCAGUCACUGAUGACAGGUAAAUGAAUGUCUGUGGCCGUGUGCCAAUAAAACUUUAUUCAUAAAAACAGGAAGUGGAACAGAGAACUUGGCCCAGGGACCUGCAGUAUGUCUGUGGCUGUGUGCCAAUAAAACUUUAUUUAUACAAACAGGGAGUGGAGGGGGGAACUUGGCCCAGGGAGCUGCAGUUUGUCUGUGGCUGUGUGCCAAUAAAACUUCAUUUAUAAAAACAGGAAGUGGAGGGCCAGACUGGGCCUGGGGUGGGGGCACAGCAUGUCUGUGGCUGUAUGCCAAUAAAACUUUAUUUAUAAAAACAGGAACUAGAUGGGGGACUUGGCCUGGGGGCCACAGUUUUCGACCCCGGCUUUAGCAGUUUUUUCCUUCUUUUGCUAACUUCUAAAAUGAAGCCGACUGACCCUAGAAGUGCCAUUUCUGAAAGAGGAAGAGAGAAAAGGGGUGAAAGGACGUUGAACCAGCCAAGGCAGACUACAGCAUUUUCAGGGCGUCUCCCCAAGAUCUCCAAUAAGGACAACUAGCAUCGACUAGGCUAAUCCCGUGACGGCCUGUUCUGCGGGGACAUCAUCACCCUGGUGCUGCCCUCUCCCCCAUUCUCUAGAGAAAGGAGCCCCAAAAGAACAGAUAAACUCUGCCUCCUAGAAAGGUAAGACUCCUGGCCUGGCGCUGUGUGGGAUCAUGCCUGUAAUCCCAGCACUUUGGGAGGCAGAGGCAGGUGGAUCACUUGAGGUCAGGAGUUCGAGACCAGCCUGACCAACAUGGUGAAACCCGUCUCUACUAAAAAUACAAAAAUUAGCCAGGCGUGGUGUCAGGCACCUGUAAUCCCAGCUACUUGGGAGGCUGAGGCAGGAGAAUUGCUUGAACCCGGGAGGUGGAGGUUGCAGUGAGCCGAGAUUAUGCUAUUGCAUUCUAGCCUGGGAGACAAGAGUGAAACUCCAUCUCAAAAAAAAAAAAAACAAAAAAACCCAACCUGCUAUAAACAAAACUCACACACACACACACACACACACACACACACACACACGCACACAGAAAACAGACUGGGAAUUGUAAAAACAGCUGACGAACAGAGACUUUCUACUCUACAGGGAAGUCUCUCACCGUCAGCACUGUGGACAUCGGGACUGGAUCCAUCUCUGGGGUGAGGCUGCCCUGGCACUGCAGGGUGCUGAGCAGAGUCCCUGGCCUCCACCCACUCCCUGCCAGGAGCACCCCUUAGUUACACUGAGCUAUGAUCGCACCACUGCACUCGCACCUGGGCAACAGAGUGAGACUCUGACUCUAAAAUAAUAAUAAUAACAAGAAUAUAAGAAUAAUAAUUCAGAUCCAUGUCCGAUAAAAAUAAUAAAUAAGUAAAGCUGAGGCUCUAACAUGAAGUCAUUACGAGGCUCAUCCAGCCACAGUGGGCUCUGCACUGGGGCACCCGCCUGGGCCUCUGCCUGGCCCAUGUCUGCUCAGGAGCCCUCAGCCCCUUGAACCCUGCUGGUGGGACAGGGGGCCCCUCUACCAGGCCCCUAACUUCUCAACAGACCCCACCUUGGGCCUCCCCAGGCUGCACCUUAACCAUCUAUGACACGCAUCCCCAGGCGGCACCGGGAGUGUCUGCGCAGAGAUCCGAGGGUGUUAGCCUGGCAGGGGCCCUGCAGGUGGGUGCUGGUUCACUAAAACGAUGAAGCGGAUGGGAGGAAAAUUAGCAUCCAACGGGCCUCAUCAUUGCUGUCCUGGGCAAUGGACUCUGACCCCUGCUGUAGAGGGUCAGAGAGGGUCAAGGUCAAGCCACAGAUUGGCAGAGCCAUCCUCUCUGGCCUCCACUCGGCUCCCCCAUGUCCCCUGCCCCCAGCAUCUCAUCAUAUGCGACUGUCACCGCCGUGUGUAUUUUGAGUCAAAGGCGGCCAAGGCUCGAUGAAUCUGCCGAUGACCAAGUUGGUGCCUCAUCCCUCGUUCUGUGGGAGGCUGACUGUUCAAGCGGUUGCUUAGCAACAGGCGCGCGCGCGCGCGCGCACACACACACACACACACACACACACACACACACACGAGAGGUGGCUGUGGUCUGCACACUGGGCUGGGGUACUCAGAUCCCCGGGCUCGGUGGUCGUGGAUGUGAGCCUCUCUGGGUAUGGAGCCUCAAUCAGUAGAGUCAGGUGGUCGCAAUAACAGCUCUGAAACGGGGAUUCAUUGAGAGGACAUCGGUGGGCUUGAAAACGGGUGUCUGUUUACCGGGGCUUGAGUGGGAGCUGUAGUAAUUCUGUCCAGAAGAGGACAGAAGCCUGCUCUCAACUCACCCGGGAGGCAGGUUCUUCUGCACCGGGCCUUCUCCCCCCGGCACUGUGGGCAUUUGGGGCUGAAUCAUUCUUGGUUGUGGGGCUGCCCCGGGCACUGCAGGGUGCUGAGUGGCACCCCUGACCUCCACCCCAUGGCAUCCACCAAUCGAGGCAGCCACAAAUGUCUCCUGGGUGCAAAAUUGCCCCGAGUUGAGACCCCCUGGGAUAGGGGAUUCCACGGACCCCCAAGAGACUCCGCGUCCCAUGAUCCUCUGCCCUGCUGAGGUCCCCGGAGGCUGCACACAUUGAAAUCCACACCCUGAGUGAGGAGGGAGAGAGGAGGGGAACAACUUGUCCGCGAAAAGAACUGAUAAUAACGUGAAUUUCAACACGACCAGGACAUGCUGAAAUCUGGUGACCGACCAGGGGGAAAUAAACCCGCUCUGACUGGCCGCGGGGACUGGAGUUUGCUUACCACACAAGAGCCCUUCUCAGGAUAAGAGGCUCCAGUAAAGCUCUCAGCAGAAAUGUUACCAAAAAAAAAAAACCCUCGCCGGGAGAACAAGGAGCUACCAGAAAAACACACUCGGUGAUCUGGAGGUCGCAAAGUUCUUCCGCACUCAGUGAGGCAAGAAGCAAAAAGGCUGAAGAAAUGCUUAUCCUGGAAGAGGGGUUCUCACCCGGGUUCUGUGGACAUCGGAGCCGGAUUGUUCUCUGGGGUGGGGUCGUCCUGGGCACUGCAGGCUGCUGAGCAGCGUCCCGGGCCUCCACCCACUCCAUGCCAGGGGCACCCCCCAGUCGUG